rnacentral:rRNA from 1 species
UACGUAGGGUGCGAGCGUUAAUCGGAAUUACUGGGCGUAAAGCGCACGUAGGCGGAUUGCUAAGUCAGGGGUGAAAUCCUGGAGCUCAACUCCAGAACUGCCCUUGAUACUGGCGAUCUCGAGUCCGGGAGAGGUGAGUGGAACUGCGAGUGUAGAGGUGAAAUUCGUAGAUAUUGGGAGGAACACCAGUGGCGAAGGCGGCUCACUGGACCGGUACUGACGCUGAUGCGCGAAAGCGUGGGGAGCAAACGGG